AUUGAACGCUGGCGGCAGGCCUAACACAUGCAAGUCGAGCGGAUGAAGGGAGCUUGCUCCUGGAUUCAGCGGCGGACGGGUGAGUAAUGCCUAGGAAUCUGCCUGGUAGUGGGGGUAAAGUCCGGAAACGGGGGGUUAUACCGCAUAAGGCCCGGGGGAGGAAGGGGGGGGUCUUUGGACCCCAACCUAUCAGGUUAGCCUAGGUCGGAUUAGCUAGUUGGUGGGGUAAAGGCCUACCAAGGCGACGAUCCGUAACUGGUCUGAGAGGAUGAUCAGUCACACUGGAACUGAGACACGGUCCAGACUCCUACGGGAGGCAGCAGUGGGGAAUAUUGGACAAUGGGCGAAAGCCUGAUCCAGCCAUGCCGCGUGUGUGAAGAAGGUCUUCGGAUUGUAAAGCACUUUAAGUUGGGAGGAAGGGCAGUAAGUUAAUACCUUGCUGUUUUGACGUUACCAACAGAAUAAGCACCGGCUAACUUCGUG
rnacentral:rRNA from 1 species